GAGCAGCCCAGGAACAGCUCCUGAACACGACACCUUCUGGCAGUGAAGCGCGGCCGACACUAAGUGUCAACUAAAUCAAAUUAAAAGACGGUCUGAUAAACCUGAAGUGAAGUGAAGUGAAGAAACAGGCAUUUGCGACCCAGUGAAAAGGACAAGCAGAUCAGAGAUAACUGCAUGUAUUAUUUAAAGUGGAACUCACAAAGUUGGUGACAGUGAUUCAGCCCUUCUUCAGAGGCUACAUCACCUUGAACUCAUGCAAAUUUAAGAUCAACGACAUCCCAUGUGUCUUGUUCGGAAUACAGUACUGUCUAAUGAAGCCACGAAACCAUCAAAAUUGCAGGAACAUUUCCAUAAAAGACACGCUGAAAAAGCUAAUUAUGGUAUUAAUCAGUUCCAGAAGAUGAAAGAAGCAUUUGAAAAGUGUUGCACACUCAAUCAUUUGUCAAGAAAGCUAAAAAUGACCUUGAUAAUGGUCUCAUUGCUUUUUAUAACAUUUCCAAAAUGAUAGCAAAAUGUGGAAAAUCUCACACAAAUGGUGAAAGAUUAAUAAUCUCUGCUGUACCAGAAGUGUUCACCACUGUUCUCAAAAUGGCUACCAGUAUUUAAAAUCAGUUCCUCUGAGUAAUAACUCUGUGGCUCGUUGUCUUGAUGAAAUGAGUGAGGGCAUUGAUUAUCAGCUAUGCACAAAGCUAGAAAAAACAGAAUUCGUGAUACAACUGAAUUUGAGAUGGAUCUUUUUUCAAGCAUGACUCUUGUAAUAUCUGCAAUCAACAAAAUGAAAGCUCAUCCAUUAAAUAACAGAAUAUUUCACCAGUUAUGCCAAGAUAACAAUGAAGAGUUUGAAUACUUGCUGCUUUACACUGAAGUGCUUUGGCUGUCAAAAGGCUGCUGCUUGAAAUGCUUCUUUGAUCUUUUUGACACUUUGGUUGAAGCUUUGCUGAAAGUUGUCAAGAGCUUAGGAAAUAAGAUUGACUUCUACGUGGAGAUGUGGUAUAUCUAGCUAAUCUGGAUGACAAAAUGAACGUUCCAAAUGUGAAACUGCAGGGCCAGAAUUUCAAUUCAAUCCAGGCAAAAGGUACAGCAUCCACUUUUAUCGGAAAACUGGAAAAACAUAAGCAAAACAUUGGGAGAAGAAUGUUCUCACAGUUUCCCUGCAUGGAAAGUGUGUCUCUCUUUUAGAGAUGGUGAUUUGCAAGAGUACUGCUUACAGCUGCAGUCACUGAAAAAGGAAUUUCACAAUCGAUUCAAGGAUUUGAACAAUCUGGAAAUUCCAAAAUGGAACAUAGCCCAUUUCUUUGCAAGGUAGAUGAACAGGAAGAGAGCUUGCAUAAAGAAAUUAUUGGAAUUCAGAAUGAUGAAGAAGCAAAAAUGCUUUUCAAAAUGUUGGAUUUUGUGGUAUGUGGCUGCACUGUCAUAUGAAGUUUCCUGGUCUUUAGAGAAGAGGCAAACUGCUAUUCAUUGCAUUUCCAUCCUCCUACCUUAUAACCAUAUAACAAUCACAGCACGGAAACAGGCCAUCUCGGCCCUCCUAGUCCGUGCCAAACUCUUAAUCUCACCUAGUCCCACCUACCCGCACUCAGCCCAUAACCCUCCACUCCUUUCCUGUCCAUAUACCUAUCCAAUUUUACCUUAAAUGACACAACUGAACUGGCCUCUACUACUUCUACAGGAAGCUCAUUCCACACAGCUAUCACUCUCUGAUUAAAGAAAUACCCCCUCGUGUUUCCCUUAAACUUCUGCCCCCUAACUCUCAAAUCAUGUCCUCUCGUUUGAAUCUCCCCUACUCUCAAUGGAAACAGCCUAUUCACGUCAACUCUAUCUAUCCCUCUCAAAAUCUUAAAUACCUCGAUCAAAUCCCCCCUCAACCUUCUACGCUCCAAUGAAUAGAGACCUAACUUGUUCAACCUUUCUCUGUAACUUAAGUGCUGAAACCCAGGUAACAUCCUAGUAAAUCGUCUCUGCACUCUCUAAUUUAUUGAUAUCUUUCCUAUAAUUCGGUGACCAGAACUGUACACAAUAUUCCAAAUUUGGCCUUACCAAUGCCUUGUACAAUUUUAACAUUACAUCCCAACUUCUGUACUCAAUGCUCUGAUUUAUAAAGGCCAGCGUUCCAAAAGCCUUCUUCAUCACCCUAUCUACAUGAGACUCCACUUUCAGGGAACUAUGCAUUGUUAUUCCGAAAUCUCUCUGUUCCACUGCAUUCCUCAAUGCCCUACCAUUUAUCUUGUAUAUUCUAUUUGGAUUAUUCCUGCCAAAAUGUAGAACCUCACACUUCUCAGCAUUAAACUCCAUCUGCCAAUGUUCAGCCAUUCUUCUAACCGGCAUAAAUCUCCCUGCAAGCUUUGAAAACCCACCUCAUUAUCCACAACACCUCCUACCUUAGUAUCAUCGGCAUACUUACUAAUCCAAUUUACCACCCCAUCAUCCAGAUCAUUUAUGUAUAUUACAAACAACAUUGGGCCCAAAACAGAUCCCUGAGGCACCCCGCUAGUCACCGGCCUCCAUCCCGAUAAACAAUUAUCCACCACUACUCUCUGGCAUCUCCCAUCUAGCCACUGUUGAAUCCUUUUUAUUACUCCAGCAUUAAUACCUAACAACUGAAUCUUCUUAACUAACCUUCCAUGUGGAACUUUGUCAAAGGCCUUGCUGAAGUCCAUAUAGACUACAUCCACUGCCUUACCCUGGUCAACAUUCCUCGUAACUUCUUCAAAAAAUUCAAUAAGGUUUGUCAAACAUGACCUUCCAUGCACAAAUCCAUGCUGGCUACUUCUAAUCAGAUCCUGUCUAUCCAGAUAAUUAUAAAUACUAUCUCUAAGAAUCCUUUCCAUUAAUUUACCCACCACUGAUGUCAAACUGACAGGUCUAUAAUUGCUAGGCUUACUUCUAGAAACCUUUUUAAACAAUGGAACCACAUGAGCAAUACGCCAAUCCUCCGGCACAAUCUCUUGAGCAAUACGCCAAUCCAAGGCACAAACCUUGUUGAAAGAAGCUUCUGUGCAGUGAACCUCAUACUCACAAAAAACAGAAACCACUUGGAAUUGUUACAUGUGGGACUUAAGGCUUUUGCUGUCUCAAUUUCAACUAAAAACCAUCAAGCCCAAGGAUCACACUGAUAUUGAAGCUGCUGUACAGCACAAAGGUACUGUGUAUGCUAGGUUUAAAGACAAACAAAAAUUUAAAGCAGAAUGAUUUUUCUCAUGUUAGCAUAUGGUUGACAUGUUUCUAAACUUUUGGGGGUGUCAGAAAGUACCUCGUGCAUAAGAGGGGCAUUAACGAGUAUGAAGGUGCUUUAGCGGGGUGUUGGGCUAAAAAAGGUUGGAACACACUGCUUUACACUAUCAGGGCACCAGGACAUAAAUUAUCCCUCAGAGGGGCGUUGGCAACUAUGAGGGUACUUUAGGGGGGCUUUGGCAAAUAAGAAAAUGCUUUGGGGGGGUGCAUUGGGCUAAAAAGAUUGUUAAGCACUGGUUUACAUAUUUGGUCAUUUCUGGAGAUGCUCCCACACUAUCUUGUCAACUAUUUCCAGCUGAACUAGACUGCAAAUGUAAUAUAUGGUUCGACAAAGACUUGAUCAUUGGAUGUCAAAGCAUUGUUCCUUUGUUAUGUGCCAUGUCAUAUGACAUGGGUGAUCAUGGUGUUUUCAUGACCAUGAUUGUUCUUGGCAAGUUUUUUUUUACAAAAGAGGUUUACCAUUGCCUUCUUCUGGGCAGUGUUUUUACAAGACCAGUGAAUGACCCCAGCCAUUAUCAAUGCUCUUUGGAGAUUGCCUGCUUGGCGUCAGUGGUCGCAUAACCAGGGCUUGAGAUAUGCUUCAGCUGCACAUAUGACCAUCCACUAUCUGUAGUGGAUGGUAGGGAGGUAAAGAAAAAUCAUAUAAUCUUUGCAGAGGGUAUGCUUUGAUAGAAUGUCAGGGUGGAGAUAUGGGUGGUGGGGUGGAGUCAAAGUGUACCCUCUGUAAAGAUCAUUUUACCUCCUGACCCCUGUUAUUCGAUGAUGAAAUUCUCAUUGUGCUUUUGACCAAACUGUUGGCUGUCUCACUUAAUAGUUCCUAUGUGGCUUUUAUGAUGAAGCUUCAGUAAAGAGUUUCAGGCAGUUUUACCAUAUUACAAGAUCUUUGGAAGCUCACAAUUCUUGCUGUAAAUAACCUUUUCAAAGGAGUCAAAAUUAGGUUAUGUUACUCUGUAUAAAAUGUACUUUUUCAUAUUCAUGUCAUCCGAAGUAAAUUCUAUUUGGAACAUACACAUUGAUAAUAAAUUAUUCUUUUCAGAGCUCAACAUGUGCGGCACAGAACAUGUAAUCCACGUUCUCAAAAAUAAAACAAACUUCUGGCUCCUUGCUUGAAAUUAAAUGGA